rnacentral:rRNA from 1 species
UACAGAGGGGGCAAGCGUUGUUCGGAAUUACUGGGCGUAAAGGGCGCGUAGGCGGGAUGGCAAGUCGGUCGUGAAAUCCCUCGGCUCAACUGAGGAUCGUCGAUCGAUACUGCCGUUCUUGAGGAUUGCAGAGGAGACUGGAAUUCCCGGUGUAGCGGUGAAAUGUGUAGAGAUCGGGAGGAACACCGGUGGCGAAGGCGGGUCUCUGGGCAAUUCCUGACGCUGAGGCGCGAAAGCGUGGGGAGCAAACGGG